rnacentral:rRNA from 1 species
AACGCGAAGAACCUUACCUGGGCUCGAACGGCUUUAGAUCAUCCUUGGAAACAGGGACUUCCCGCAAGGGACUGGAGUCGAGGUGCUGCAUGGCUGUCGUCAGCUCGUGUCGUGAGAUGUUGGGUUAAGUCCCGCAACGAGCGCAACCCUUGUCCUGUGUUGGCAUGCCGCAAGGCGCAACUCUCAGGAGACCGCCAGCGAUAAGUUGGAGGAAGGUGGGGAUGACGUCAAGUCAUCAUGGCCUUUAUGUCCAGGGCCACACACGUGCUACAAUGGGCGGUACAAAGCGCUGCCAACCCGCGAGGGGGAGCUAAUCGCCAAAAACCGUCCUCAGUUCGGAUUGCAGGCUGCAACUCGCCUGCAUGAAGCUGGAAUCGCUAGUAAUGCUAUAUCAGAACGAUAGCGUGAAUACGUUCCCGGGCCUUGUA